rnacentral:tRNA from 1 species
GCCGCGGUGGCGGAACUGGCAGACGCGCCGGCCUUAAGAGCCGUUGUCCUUUAAAGACGUGUGGGUUCGACUCCCUCCCGCGGCA